AUUCAUUCAAGAAGAAGGUAUAGGCGUUCACCAUGCUAGACAAAUUGUGAAUGCUUAUAUGAAACUCGAGGAGUUUAUUUACGCGCAUUAAUUCUUAUUACUCAAAAUAUCAUGACUUAUUAUUUAUUAAUGUAUGUAUGGAAUCUUACUAAGUUCACUCGAACUUAUGAGUGGUUUAUCUUGAUUGUAUGAUCAGGCUGACAUGAAAAUUAUGGGAAGGGAC
rnacentral:lncRNA from 1 species